UUUCCACAGCUCUCAAUGCAUAUUUCCGUACACGGAGAGAGAGAGAGAGAGAGAGAGGCGAAAAAUCCACUACAGAUCUCUUCUUUAUCUCGACCUCUAUUUUUUCCCCCAAUUUCCACCAGCGCCGAGGAGAUAUUAGGGCAUCGGAAUGGGGAUCGAGGUCUUGGCGCUUUCCCUCCCUUCUCCCGCCUCUCAGUGGGAGCGAUUGUCAUCAUCUCACCAGGCGAGUACCAGGGGUGUAAUUGAGAUGGGCAACCUGGAGCUGGGAUCUACUACUUUGGCUCAGUCAAAAUCUUUGCCCGCAAGGGUUGUUCGACCACCAACAUGUUUAACUCAAAUUUUUAACCAUCCUUCUGGUGGCGAGAUGGAUGCUUGGGUUAGACCAUGUUGUCGAAAGAAACCCCUAAUUUCCAAAUAUCUUCGAGGAUAUCUUGAUCCACCUUCAUCCAGCUGCAAGCGAUCAUUCAAAAGAUAUUCAUCCUCCUCUGAGGCAUUAAUGACCUCUAAGUCUCAAGCCGCAUCCAGCACGCUUAUUGUUGGCAAUGAAAAAGUUGGAGUCUUGUUACUUAAUCUUGGAGGACCAGAGACCCUUGAAGAUGUGCAACCGUUCUUAUUUAAUCUUUUUUCUGACCCGGACAUUAUUCGGCUUCCUAGGAUGUUCUGGUUUUUUCAGAAGCCUUUGGCACAAUUCAUAUCCGCUGUUAGAGCACCCAAGAGCAAAGAAGGUUAUGCUUCCAUAGGUGGUGGUUCUCCACUUCGACAGAUAACCGAAGCACAGGCGGAAGCAUUGAGGAAGGCCCUUUGUAACAAAAAUGUCCCGGUGAAGGUGUACGUUGGAAUGCGAUAUUGGCAUCCUUUCACUGAAGAAGCUAUUCAACAGAUUAAACAGGACAGGAUAACAAAACUUGUUGUGCUUCCUCUUUAUCCACAGUUUUCAAUAUCAACUAGUGGUUCAAGUCUUCGUUUGCUAGAGAGUAUAUUCAGGGAGGAUGAGUAUCUGGUUAAUAUGCAACACACAGUUAUACCUUCAUGGUACCAGCGUGAGGGAUACAUCAAGGCCAUGGCAAAUUUAAUUGAAAAAGAGUUACGCACAUUUGAUAGCCCUGAGAAGGUAAUGAUAUUUUUCAGUGCUCAUGGAGUGCCCCUCGCAUAUGUGGAAGAAGCUGGAGAUCCAUACAAAGCAGAGAUGGAGGAGUGUGUAGAUUUAAUUAUGGAAGAACUAGAAAAACGCGGAAUAACAAAUCCAUACACCCUUGCUUACCAGAGCCGAGUUGGACCUGUGGAAUGGUUGAAGCCCUACACCGACGAGACAAUUGUUGAGCUUGGACAAAAAGGAGUGAAAAGUCUUCUAGCCGUCCCUAUUAGUAUCCAAUGUGCAGUUUUGUCAGUGAGCAUAUUGAAACCCUUGAAGAAAUUGAUGUGGAGUACAAAGAGUUGGCUCUGAGAUCUGGCAUUGAGAGAUGGGGGCGGGUUCCUGCUUUAGGAUGUGAGCCAACAUUCAUUUCUGAUCUUGCUGAUGCUGUUAUAGAGAGUCUUCCCUAUGUCGGAGCAAUGGCAGUUUCCAAUCUUGAGGCUCGUCAGUCGCUUGUGCCCCUUGGAAGCGUAGAAGAGCUCUUGGCAGCAUAUGAUUCAAAACGUGGCGAGCUUCCACCGCCGGUUACUGUGUGGGAAUGGGGAUGGACGAAAAGCGCAGAAACCUGGAACGGCCGAGCAGCCAUGGUAGCUGUUCUUGCUCUUUUGGUCUUAGAAGUAACCACGGGCGAAGGAUUCUUGCACCAGUGGGGAAUCCUGCCCCUGUUCCGUUGACUGGAAGUUUAUUUCACAUGCAAUGAGCUAAGCCGUCGGUGAAGAAAAUGCUGUUUUUUUUCGCAAGUCUUCUCAUUCUGAUACUGCUAGCAUUUCGUCUGUGCAGGUAGUAAUGCUGCCAUUCUGGCCGAUGGGCAACUUUUGUGGAUACAUCUAUAUGAGCACAUAUAAAAGGCAUUGGUGUAUACUUUUUUAGACCUAUCUUAUAUGUUUUUGAUACGUUUUUCUGAAUCAUAAUGACUGUUGCUGAUACUUCA